GAAUCCAGAGCCAUGAAGCCUCUUCCCCAAGUUCACGCAGGAGGAGCGACCAGAGGCAGGGCAUGGAUGUAGUAGGUCCGUUGGGCUCUCCAACGGCUGGGUUUGCUGACCCCACGGCAGGAGACGCUGAGAGGAUCUACCAUGGAUGGAAAAGUCUGCCGUUCGGGUGACAGCAGGGUGACCUUGUGACUACAAGAUGGCAGGGGAGCCACAAGAAGGAAGGGGCCUCUGUCCUGGAACAAGCAUUGGAGAAGAGCCACCCAGGAGAGCCGGGGGUCAGGGGCAUGAGCAUCGGACUUUGUGGGAGUGAGAAAUAAACAUACGAAAACGUGGCAAA